CCUCAGGUGGGGCAAUGGAUCAGCGCAUCUGGCUGUUAAUCAGAAGGUUGGUUGUUCAAGGCCACCCUUUGGUUCCUUGAAGA